rnacentral:rRNA from 1 species
UACAGAGGUCUCGAGCGUUAGGCGGAAUCACUGGGCUUAAAGCGUGUGUAGGCGGAUCGGUAAGUCGGGUGUGAAAUCUCGGAGCUUAACUCCGAAACUGCAUUCGAUACUGCCGUGCUUGAGGACUGGAGAGGAGACUGGAAUUUACGGUGUAGCGGUGAAAUGCGUAGAUAUCGUAAGGAAGACCAGUGGCGAAGGCGGGUCUCUGGACAGUUCCUGACGCUGAGGCACGAAGGCCAGGGGAGCAAACGGG